CAAUGGGGGAACCCUGAUGCAGCGACGCCGCGUGAAGGAAGAAGUAUCUCNCNUAUGUAAACUUCUAUCAGCAGGGNAAGAUAGUGACGGUACCUGCACUAAGAAGCCCCGGCUAACUACGUGCCAGCAGCCGCGGUAAAACGUAGGUCACAAGCGUUGUCCGGAAUUACUGGGUGUAAAGGGAGCGCAGGCGGGAGAACAAGUUGGAAGUGAAAUCCAUGGGCUCAACCCAUGAACUGCUUUCAAAACUGUUUUUCUUGAGUAGUGCAGAGGUAGGCGGAAUUCCCGGUGUAGCGGUGGAAUGCGUAGAUAUCGGGAGGAACACCAGUGGCGAAGGCGGCCUACUGGGCACCAACUGACGCUGAGGCUCGAAAGUGUGGGUAGCAAACAGGAUUAGAUACCCUGGUAGUCCAAGGGCGAAUUC
rnacentral:rRNA from 1 species